ACAGCAAUAUCACGUUGAAACACCGGUUUCUGUACGAUCACCAAGUUUAGCAACGUUGAGCCUGGUCAGUACUUAGAUGAGUGACCGCUUGGGAAUAGCAGGUGCU